UGCAGUAGUGAGAACAGCAUCCUCUAGUACUUUGGUCAUUUCUUCUAGAGCAGCUGCCCAACUAAAUACCGUACCAUCCUCACUGCAGUGAGGUGUGGCCAUGUGGCCAAGUGCUUGCUACUGGCUUUUCUAGGCAUGUCUCCUAAUUCCACCCCUCCUAUUUCUGGCCAACAGCCUUGGAAGGCUUAUGCAAGUGAUCACAGGUUCCAACCAAGUUGCCUGCAUGAUUACAUGACAGUCGCCAUUUGAACUGAUGCUACGGUUAAGUAUUAAUGGUACAAUGAGAUCCUACUGACUGUAAUACUAAAAAAUCUGGAAUUUUGGUUUCUUUCCUAAACACAUGAAACUCAAGAAAAAUGAAGACUGAAGUGUGGACACUAUGCCCCUC
rnacentral:lncRNA from 1 species